rnacentral:rRNA from 1 species
UACGGAGGGUGCAAGCGUUGUCCGGAUUUAUUGGGCUUAAAGGGUGCGUAGGAGGGCAGGUAAGUCAGUGGUGAAAUCUCCAAGCUUAACUUGGAAACUGCCGUUGAUACUAUCUGUCUUGAAUGUUGUGGAGGUGAGCGGAAUAUGUCAUGUAGCGGUGAAAUGCUUAGAUAUGACAUAGAACACCAAUUGCGAAGGCAGCUCACUACACAAUUAUUGACUCUGAGGCACGAAAGCGUGGGGAUCAAACAGG